rnacentral:rRNA from 1 species
UACGUAGGGGGCAAGCGUUGUCCGGAAUCAUUGGGCGUAAAGCGCGUGUAGGCGGCUCGGUAAGUCUGCUGUGAAAGCCCAGGGCUCAACCCUGGGAUGCCGGUGGAUACUGUCGAGCUCGAGUCCGGAAGAGGCGAGUGGAAUUCCUGGUGUAGCGGUGAAAUGCGCAGAUAUCAGGAGGAACACCGAUGGCGAAGGCAGCUCGCUGGGACGGUACUGACGCUGAGGCGCGAAAGCGUGGGGAGCGAACAGG